UCGAAGGUAGCAUAAUCAGUAGUCUUAUAAUUGAAGACUAGAAUGAAUGGUUGGACGAAAUAUUAACUGUUUCAUAUAAAUUUUAUAGAAUUUUAUUUUUUAGUUAAAAAGCUAAAAUAUUUUUAAAAGACGAGAAGACCCUAUAAAUCUUUAUAAUUUAUUAUUUUUUAUAAAUUAGAUAAUUUAUAUAAUUAUUAUGAAAUUAUUUUAUUGGGGUGAUAGUAAAAUUUAAAAAACUUUUAUUAAUUUUUUAACAUUAAUAAAUGAAUAAUUGAUCCAUUAAUAGUGAUUAAAAAAUUAAGUUACUUUAGGGAUAACAGCGUAAUUUUUUUGGAGAGUUC
rnacentral:rRNA from 1 species